CAUUGUGCAUUGUGUUUCUGUGUUCCAUACCUGAUCAGAAAUGUUCCUUGUUGUUGUUAAACAGAAAGUCAAAAAAAGAAAACUGGUAAAACGUGAUUAUGAUAUUAGAUCGUCUGCAAAACGGAAAAGAGAACAGCGACAGUUGGAAGCACGAGUUGAAGAAUGGACGAUAGCGGCAGUCUACUUGAAAGAAAGGCGGUGACGUGUUGUCUCUGUCAUAUUUAUCUUUGUGCUUCCGUCUUCGGUCUUUAGAUGCUAGGAGAUAAAGCGGGUACUUGCUUUCGAUCAACGUAUGUUGCAGCGCAUCGCAGUCGACUAGAGGAGAUAUAUGUAUGGAUUCAGGUAGGCUCUCUAGUGCGCAGUAUCAGACAAUGAAGCUGCGUUGCCAGGACAGUGUGAAGAUCACGAAACUUGCUGACAAGGCGAAAAUUUCUUUUGCCUUGGAGACGAUCACAUCCAUCUGAGGCUCAUGUCUUGUUUCUGCAAUUUAUUGAUGUACUGCUGCAGAUGGCAGUUGCUGAUUGAGCUGACUCGUGUGCCUUCUAAUCUUCCUAGGGGAGUCGAUUUCAUACAACUUUUAGCUCAUCUGGGGGAUGUGGGCAAAACAAAGUCACAUACCAAAGCACAUCUACUAUUAAUUGGAGCACUUUCUUUACUUGACUGUGGCUGGAUCAGGUGUGGAAUUUUUAAACUCAUGAUAUCUAGCUUGGAUUGAUGAACAGAACAGGGAUUAGGCGGUGUUUAUCUUUUACUCACAUAGUGUAUCUAUACUAUAUGUGCGUUUACUUGUUCUGUAUAUUAGUUAUGUACCAAGUAGCUGAAAACCGACUUGGUGGUUAGUGGACUAUA